rnacentral:lncRNA from 1 species
UGCUUCCUCAUUUGUAUCUUUCUUCAUUUCAACUUCAUCAUCAUAACAUUCCAUUGGCUCCUCUUCAAUCUCACCUUUUUUCUCUUUUUCAUGAACAUCAUUGUCUUUGUUCUUUUCUUCAUUACUUGAGCAUACAUGCUCUUGUAGGUCUUCUUCUCUCUUUACUUCUUCAUUCAUAUCUUUCUCCAUUUCAACUUCAUCAUCAUUACAUUCCAUUGGCUCCUCUUCAAUCUCAACUUUUUGCUCUUUUUCCAUGAUGAUUUCUUGAUUCUUAAUGAGUUGCUCAACUUCAGGUUCCUCCUCAGGUUCUUCUUCAGGCUCCUCUUCAAUCUCAACUUUUUUCUCAUUUUCCAUGAUAAUUUCUUGAUUCUUAACGAGUUGCUCAACUUCAGGUUCCUCUUCAGGUUCUUCUUCAGGUUCCUCUUCAAUCUCAACUUUUUUUUCAUUUUCCAUGAUGAUUUCUUGAUUCUUAAUCGGUUGCUCAACUUCAGGUUCCUCUUCAGGUUCUUCUUCGGGUUCUUCUUCAAUCUCAACUUUUUUCUCAUUUUCCAUGAUGAUUUCUUGAUUCUUAAUGAGUUGCUCAACUUCGGGUUCCUCUUCGGGUUCUUCUUCAGGUUCCUCUUCAAUCUCAACUUUUUUCUCAUUUUCCAUGAUGAUUUCUUGAUUCUUGAUGAGUUGCUCAACUUCAGGUUCCUCUUCAGGUUCUUCCUCAGGUUCCUCUUCUUCCUCUAUUCGAGCUUCUACAAAGGAUUCUUGGAUCUUUA